rnacentral:rRNA from 1 species
GUGAACGCUGGCGGUAGGCCUAACACCUGCCAGUCGCACGGCAGCACAGUAAGAGCUUGCUCUUACGGGUGGCGAGUGGCGGACGGGUGAGGAAUACAUCGGAAUCUACUUUUUCGUGGGGGAUAACGUAGGGAAACUUACGCUAAUACCGCAUACGACCUACGGGUGAAAGCAGGGGAUCUUCGGACCUUGCGCGAUUGAAUGAGCCGAUGUCGGAUUAGCUAGUUGGCGGGGUAAAGGCCCACCAAGGCGACGAUCCGUAGCUGGUCUGAGAGGAUGAUCAGCCACACUGGAACUGAGACACGGUCCAGACCCCUACGGGAGGCAGCAGUGGGGAAUAUUGGACAAUGGGCGCAAGCCUGAUCCAGCCAUACCGCGUGGGUGAAGAAGGCCUUCGGGUUGUAAAGCCCUUUUGUUGGGAAAGAAAAGCAGCAGGUUAAUACCCCGCUGUUCUGACGGUACCCAAAGAAUAAGCACCGGCUAACUUCGUG